rnacentral:lncRNA from 1 species
GUGGUGAAGCACAGGGAAGGCAAUUGAAAAAUGUCUGUUAGAUGAAUGUCUGACUGAAGCCAAGGGCUUUGCAUAGUAUUUGUCACACAAACACAGGCGGUAAAUAUUCACUCAUCGUCAUCAUCAUCCUCGUCAUUGUUAUUGCUGUUAUGUACCCUUUUACACACUGUGACCUCAUGGCCCAUUGUCAGAAGCCUAAUUAUAACUAAACAGAAAUUAAGAACAACUGCUGUUCAUCCAGCGAUGGCACAGUACCCCAGCUGGAGGAUCAUAGGAUAGUUCCUGAGAAACAGCACAUGAAAAUGACAACUGUUACUCAGAAUGUUAGCAUAAAACCCAGCAAGAUGAAUCAGGACAGGUAAGCAAAUUAUAGUGGCCUAAAGGCAAUCCGUUAGCACUAGUAGUCUAGUUAU